UGUGCGUAGUAAUAGAGGUAUC
rnacentral:miRNA from 1 species